AAUCUUGCGCAAUGGGCGAAAGCCUGACGCAGCGACGCCGCGUGAGCGAUGAAGGCCCNAGGGUUNUNAAGCUCUGUGGAGAGGGNAGAAUAAGGGCUGGCGAAUACCCAGCCUGCUGACGGUACCUCUUUAGCAAGCACCGGCUAACUCUGUGCCAGCAGCCGCGGUAAGACAGAGGGUGCAAACGUUGUUCGGAAUUACUGGGCGUAAAGCGCGUGUAGGCGGCUAUGCAAGUCGGAUGUGAAAUCCCGCGGCUCAACCGUGGAAGUGCAUCCGAAACUGCGUGGCUAGAGUCCCGGAGAGGAAGGUGGAAUACUUGGUGUAGAGGUGAAAUUCGUAGAUAUCAAGUGGAACACCGGUGGCGAAGGCGGCCUUCUGGACGGUGACUGACGCUGAGACGCGAAAGCGUGGGUAGCAAAC
rnacentral:rRNA from 1 species